UACAGAGGUCUCAAGCGUUGUUCGGAUUCAUUGGGCGUAAAGGGUGUGUAGGUGGCGCCGUAAGUCGGGUGUGAAAUUUCGGAGCUUAACUCCGAAACUGCAUUCGAUACUGCGGUGCUUGAGGACUGGAGAGGAGACUGGAAUUCAUGGUGAGCAGUGAAAUGCGUAGAGAUCAUGAGGAAGACCGGUGGCGAAGGCGGGUCUCUGGACAGUUCCUGACACUGAGACACGAAGGCCAGGGGAGCAAACGGG
rnacentral:rRNA from 1 species